GUCACUUUGAUAGUUGUACCUCACAUCCUGCAUCACUAUCAAGACCAACUAUUAGAUUUACCAUAGACUGUCCACUAAGAGAGGCCAAAUAUGAUCAUGAAUGAAUGACAAAACUGUAUCUACCCUCUAUAAACAUCAAUCAUCUUAAGAACCUUAACUUCAUAGCAUCCACACUGCCAGAGAACACAGAAAUAUAUAUAAACUGUAAAACAUUCACACUACAACUAAAACCAUGAUAAGUUGAGCAUAUGGAGGCAUCAAAAAAGGAAAUAGGUUAGAACUCACCCGAUCAGAGCCAACAGAACAAUGAGAACAUCCAGCUUACAUGCAACACCAUCGGUGGUAAAACUACUGCCGUCCCUAAACUGAAGAAAAUAUCAAAGAAAUUAAACCAUCAUGUCCACAAGCAACGAGUGGAUUUGUAAGAAAACCAACAACAUGAAGAUGUCCCUUGAUGUAGUAGUAAUUAAUAGGAUAUCGAUAUGAAGAAAACGAUAAUUAGAUCAUGCAUUGAUAAUCCAACAUAGAUACGUACAAAAGAACAAGCAACCUUCGAAAUAUUUGGUCGAAAGUAAUCCAGACAUUAAUUACUAAUUAUUACAUGUAGGCCAACUGAAAAAACACAACCAUCUACAAAUAGAAAACAUGGAUUGGCAUACAACAAUCAGAAGCGAGCCUUGCUCAUUCUCACUUGAUACAAAAACCCAGAAAACAAACUACAACAAACAACUGAAAUCUAAUACUCUACAGAUGCUGGAAUCAUGGUUUUUACUACAAAAAGAAUGAAGGCAUUAACAAGCUAAGUAUCUUGGUUUUAGCUACCAAACCAGAAGGAUUGCUACAGUACCUUUCAGUUCAGUAACACAGUUUGGCGAGGUUGCAAAGUGGUCUUUGUCGCCUCUGCUGCCAUCGUUGUAGGAACCCAGACCCAUCCAAACCCUAGAUGACUGAAAAAAUUAAUUAGGAGGACAUGAAUUAGAGGGAGGAGCUCACACAAGGAAUUGCAAUCAAAAGGGAGGCAGAGG
rnacentral:lncRNA from 1 species